rnacentral:rRNA from 1 species
GAUGAACGCUGGCGGCGUGCCUAAUACAUGCAAGUCGAGCGAACGGACGAGGAGCUUGCUUCUCUGACGUUAGCGGCGGACGGGUGAGUAACACGUGGAUAACCUACCUAUAAGACUGGGAUAACUUCGGGAAACCGGAGCUAAUACCGGAUGAUAUUUUGAACCGCAUGGUUCAAUAGUGAAAGACGGUCUUGCUGUCACUUAUAGAUGGAUCCGCGCUGCAUUAGCUAGUUGGUAAGGUAACGGCUUACCAAGGCAACGAUGCAUAGCCGACCUGAGAGGGUGAUCGGCCACACUGGAACUGAGACACGGUCCAGACUCCUACGGGAGGCAGCAGUAGGGAAUCUUCCGCAAUGGGCGAAAGCCUGACGGAGCAACGCCGCGUGAGUGAUGAAGGUCCUCGGAUCGUAAAACUCUGUUAUUAGGGAAGAACAUAUGUGUAAGUAACUGUGCACAUCUUGACGGUACCUAAUCAGAAAGCCACGGCUAACUACGUG